AUUGAACGCUGGCGGCAUGCUUUACACAUGCAAGUCGGACGGCAGCGGGGGUGCUUGCACCUGCCGGCGAGUGGCGAACGGGUGAGUAACAUAUUGGAAUGUACCGAGUAGUGGGGGAUAACCAAUCGAAAGAUUGGCUAAUACCGCAUACGUCCUGAGGGGGAAAGCAGGGGAUCUUCGGACCUUGCGCUACUUGAGCAGCCAAUAUCUGAUUAGCUAGUUGGUGGGGUAAAGGCCCACCAAGGCGACGAUCAGUAGCGGGUCUGAGAGGAUGAUCCGCCACACUGGGACUGAGACACGGCCCAGACUCCUACGGGAGGCAGCAGUGGGGAAUUUUGGACAAUGGGGGCAACCCUGAUCCAGCCAUGCCGCGUGUCUGAAGAAGGCCUUCGGGUUGUAAAGGACUUUUGUUAGGGAAGAAAAGAGAAGUGUUAAUU
rnacentral:rRNA from 1 species